rnacentral:rRNA from 1 species
AAUAUUGGACAAUGGGGGCAACCCUGAUCCAGCCAUGACGCGUGUGUGAAGAAGGUAUUCGGAUUGUAACGCACUUUAAGCUGGGAGGAAGGGCUUUAGGUUAAUACUCUGACGUUUUUAGGUUACCAACAGAUAACGCACCGGCUAAAUCCGUCCCUGCAGCCGAGGUAAUACAGAGGGUGCAAUCGUUAAUCGGAAUUACUGGGCGUAAAGCGCGCGUAGGUGGUUCAGUAAGAUGGGUGUGAAAUCCCCGGGCUUAACCUGGGAACUGCUUUCAUAACUGCUGAGCUAGAGUACGGUAGAGGGUAGUGGAAUUUCCUGUGUAGCGGUGAAAUGCGUAGGUAUAGGAAGGAACACCAGUGGCGAAGGCGACUACCUGGACUGAUACUGACACUGAGGUGCGAAAGCGUGGGGAGCAAAC